GUUUGGAAAGCUCUGCAGUAGAGCAUGAGACUCUUCAUCUCAAGGUUGUGGGUUCGAGCCCCAUCUCGGGCA